UAAGGGAGACCUACCCACUCAAAUUACCGAAGACAAGUUGAAGUUGUAAAUAGGUAAUGAGUUGGUCAUCCCAGGUCGGUCGGAGAUUAGAAAAUAGGCUUUCAAACUAUUAGAAUGGUUCGGUAAUCUCAAAGUAAAAUCACAAGCUGAUAGUUAAGUACCAGUUCAGCAACUUAGCAUCAUAAUAUCGUUAGCUAAGACUGCUGGGUGAGAGUCCAGCCAGAACCUUGAAAACUGCAUAGAGAAGCGAAUGUAUGGUAGUUCAGUCAAAAGUGAGCAGUGAACAGUAAUACUGAGAACUGAAAACAGAAGACUGAGUAACAGACACCAAUGUUGUGAGAAGU
rnacentral:misc_RNA from 1 species